CUGUUGAUUACUUUUCCAAAUGCGCUUUGCCACAGGUUUUUUGAUUUUAUCAUUGUGUUUAUUCUUCUGCAUCGUGGGAUCUGAAGAAACUCACUGCCAAACUAUAUGUCCCCGUCUUUACAAACCGGUUUGUGGCAGCUUCGAAAAAAGUACUGACAACUUAUUGCAAUGUACCUUCGGAAAUCAAUGUUUGUUGCAUGCGCACGCUUGUACUAGUAAUGAAUCAUGGGAUGUUUCUUCGGGACCUUGUGAUAAAUACUUUACUGAAUGUGCUUCUAUAGAACGUUACUAAAAAUAUGAUUUCUAUAUUAAAUUUUAAAUCUAUAAAAUGUAAAUGAUCCGAUGUAAUAAUGUCGACACACCGUUACCGAACCAAUAAAGAUUUUUAAAACGCAACUAAAAAAAAA